rnacentral:tRNA from 1 species
GGGGUUAUAGCUCAAGGGGUAGAGUGCAAUGCUAACAUGCAUGAGGUCCUGGGUUCAAUCCCCAGUACCUCCU